CAAUAGCGUAUAUUUAAGUUGCUGCAGUUAAAAAGCUCGUAGUUGGAUUUCGGGGCAGCCUGGCUGGUCCGCCGCAAGGCGAGUACUGGUCAGCCGCCCUUCCUCUCGAAAGCCCCGACUGCUCUUCGUUGCAGUGGUCGGGUAGUUCGGGACGUUUACUUUGAAAAAAUUAGAGUGUUCAAGGCAGGCCUACGCCUGAAUACAUUAGCAUGGAAUAAUGGAAGAGGACCUCGGUCCUAUUUUGUUGGUUUCCAGGGCCGAAGUAAUGAUUAAGAGGGACAGUUGGGGGCAUUCGUAUUUAAUUGUCAGAGGUGAAAUUCUCGGAUUUAUGAAAGACGAACAACUGCGAAAGCAUUUGCCAAGGAUGUUUUCAUUAA
rnacentral:rRNA from 1 species